rnacentral:rRNA from 1 species
GACGAACGCUGGCGGCGUGCUUAACACAUGCAAGUCGAGCGGUAAGGCCCUUUCGGGGGUACGACGAGCGGCGAACGGGUGAGUAACACGUGGGUGACCUGCCCUCAGCUCUGGGAUAAGCCUGGGAAACGUGGGUCUAAUACUGGAUAUGACUCCACGGUGCAUGUCGUGGGGUGGAAAGCCUUGUGCGGCUGAGGAUGGGCCCGCGGCCUAUCAGCUUGUUGGGGGGUGA